rnacentral:rRNA from 1 species
UACGGGGGGGGCAAGCGUUGUUCGGAAUUACUGGGCGGAAAGGGCUCGUAGGCGGCCAACUAAGUCAGACGUGAAAUCCCUCAGCUUAACUGGGGAACUGCGUCUGAUACUGGAUGGCUGGAGUUCGGGAGAGGGAUGCGGAAUUCCAGGUGUAGCGGUGAAAUGCGUAGAUAUCUGGAGGAACACCGGUGGCGAAGGCGGCAUCCUGGACCGACACUGACGCUGAGGAGCGAAAGCCAGGGGAGCAAACGGG